GACGAACGCUGGCGGCGUGCUUAACACAUGCAAGUCGAACGGAAAGGCCCUGCUUGCAGGGUGCUCGAGUGGCGAACGGGUGAGUAACACGUGGGUGAUCUGCCCCUUACUUUGGGAUAAGCCUGGGGAACUGGGUCUAAUACUGGAUAGGACCAUGCUGUAGGUGGUGUGGUGGAAAGAUUAGUUUCGGUAAGGGAUGAGCUCGCGGCCUGUCAGCUUGUUGGUGGGGUAAUGGCCUACCAAGGCGUCGACGGGUAGCCGGCCUGAGAGGGUGGACGGCCACAUUGGGACUGAGAUACGGCCCAGACUCCUACGGGAGGCAGCAGUGGGGAAUAUUGCACAAUGGGCGCAAGCCUGAUGCAGCGACGCCGCGUGGGGGAUGACGGCCUUCGGGUUGUAAACUCCUUUCAGCCAUGACGAAGCCCUUGUGGUGACGGUAGUGGUAGAAGAAGCACCGGCUAACUACGUG
rnacentral:rRNA from 1 species